AGGGGAUUAGUGUAACGGUAACACACAAGUCUUUGACACUUGCAUUUCUGGUUCAAAUCCAGGAUCCCCUGCCA
rnacentral:tRNA from 1 species